CAAUGAGAUUUGUUUCUUCUGUUCCCUCUCGAUCUCUAACAAAGAGUUUAUUUUUUACCAUUUUUGUCCUUAAAUUAUUUCCCAGUAAUUAAAAUAUUUAUUACAAUCCUUUGAUCAAUUAAAUUAUCGUGAAUUAAACUGCCAUUCAAUCAACUAAUGAUAUUUUCAAAUGAAUUUCAAUGUUACAAUUUUAAUGAAAGUCUGAUAUCAACAAUAACUGUCAGUCGUUAUACACGUGUUUUUACUGUAUUAUAAAAGCCUCUUUGCUAUGUGAUUCCCAUUGAUCUAUUAAGCUGUGAUUUUUCCUUAUUUAAUCUUAUUCCUUAAUCUUUUCAAUAUUUUCAAGUUUAAUCUAAUUUUCGUGUAUGUUAUAGAUGAAAGAUAACUUGAAGUUUCCUAUCGUUGAAUUAAUCUGGACUAUGAUUCCAUCUUCUUCGUUAAUCUGGUUCACCUACAAUUAAAUGCUAUUUAUGACGAAUGUUAUUUGCAUUGCCAUCAAGGAUUGCAAGGAUUAGUCGCUUUUCAUGCCGAUAUUUAUUGUUUUAUUCAAAUUGUUCAGUUCUUAAUGAACACAGCAAAACAUGAAAGCCAAACGAUUCAUAGCAAUCAAAAGAUGAUCAUCAUAUUGCCGAGGCUGAUUGACAAUCUUCCAAGAAAGUGUAUUUGAAAAGUUCAUUUGAUGACAAGCACUAUAAUCAAAGUUAUGAUGGUCUUCAAGCUAUUGCGGAUCGAUUCACAUCAAUAGUUGAUAAUUAGCCAGAAAAAAAAGUCAACUUCAAAAUGAUUUAUUGACAGUGUGACAAUAAGAAGCCUAUUUUAACUGGAUACUUUGAUUCAAAUAUUUAAAGGGGUAAACAUCCAGGAAUAACAGAUUCACUGCUGGAAACACUUCAACCAAUUCCAAGCACAAUUAUAACCAGAUAAUAACUAAUUACAGAAUAUUAGUUGAGAACUCGGAAAUUACCUGGCAAAAAAACCUGAUUAUCACUUGAAUUUGGAAAACACAUCAAGCAUUGAAUAUUGAACUGACCAAACAUCAACUAUAAACUGAUACAAAAUCAAUACGAUCAACAAUUCUCAAUGAUAGAUCAUCUAAAUCGUUAAGAGAUCGAGAGUUGAUGAAAAUGUUUGCUAUUAUCCAACUUUGAAUUGAGUUCACCAUUAAUUAUUCAAAAUAAUAAGUGUUUGGACGAAGCAUUUUCUUUAAUUGUAAUUUAUUUGUGUCACCAGAUUAACGUUAAAUUGUAUUAUUAAAUUAUUAAGAAAAGUGUAAA